rnacentral:rRNA from 1 species
CACGAACGCUGGCAGCAGGCUUAACACAUGCAAGUCGAGCGCCCCGCAAGGGGAGCGGCAGACGGGUGAGUAACGCGUGGGAAUCUACCCAUCUCUACGGAAUAACGCAUGGAAACGUGUGCUAAUACCGUAUACGUCCUUCGGGAGAAAGAUUUAUCGGAGAUGGAUGAGCCCGCGUUGGAUUAGCUAGUUGGUGGGGUAAAGGCCUACCAAGGCGACGAUCCAUAGCUGGUCUGAGAGGAUGAUCAGCCACACUGGGACUGAGACACGGCCCAGACUCCUACGGGAGGCAGCAGUGGGGAAUAUUGGACAAUGGGCGCAAGCCUGAUCCAGCCAUGCCGCGUGAGUGAUGAAGGCCCUAGGGUUGUAAAGCUCUUUCACCGGUGAAGAUAAUGACGGUAACCGGAGAAGGAGCCCCGGCUAACUUCGUGCCAGCCGCCGCCGUAACAC